UACGUAGGGGGCAAGCGUUGUCCGGAAUCAUUGGGCGUAAAGAGCGUGUAGGCGGUCCGGUAAGUCGGCUGUGAAAGUCCAGGGCUCAACCCUGGGAUGCCGGUCGAUACUGCCGGACUAGAGUUCGGAAGAGGCGAGUGGAAUUCCCGGUGUAGCGGUGAAAUGCGCAGAUAUCAGGAGGAACACCGAUGGCGAAGGCAGGUCUCUGGGCCACUACUGACGCUGAGAAGCGAAAGCAUGGGGAGCGAACAGU
rnacentral:rRNA from 1 species